rnacentral:snRNA from 1 species
UCCCAUUGCACAUACCGG